rnacentral:rRNA from 1 species
AACGAACGCUGGCGGCAUGCCUAACACAUGCAAGUCGAACGAGACCUUCGGGUCUAGUGGCGCACGGGUGCGUAACGCGUGGGAUCCUGCCCUUAGGUUCGGAAUAACUCCCCGAAAGGGGUGCUAAUACCGGAUAAUGUCUUCGGACCAAAGAUUUAUCGCCUUUGGAUGGGCCCGCGUUGGAUUAGCUAGUUGGUAGGGUAAAAGCCUACCAAGGCGACGAUCCAUAGCUGGUCUGAGAGGAUGAUCAGCCACACUGGGAUUGAGACACGGCCCAGACUCCUACGGGAGGCAGCAGUGGGGAAUAUUGGACAAUGGGCGAAAGCCUGAUCCAGCAAUGCCGCGUGAGUGAUGAAGGCCUUAGGGUUGUAAAGCUCUUUUACCCGGGAUGAUAAUGACAGUACCGGGAGAAUAAGCUCCGGCUAACUCCGUG